UCUAGAAUAGCUUAAUACUUAAAGCACUGACAUUGUAACUCAGAGAUAAAUAAUUUUUUUUCUAGAA
rnacentral:tRNA from 1 species